AUUGAACGCUGGCGGCAGGCCUAACACAUGCAAGUCGAGCGGCAGCGGGAAAGUAGCUUGCUACUUUUGCCGGCGAGCGGCGGACGGGUGAGUAAUGCCUGGGAAAUUGCCCAGUCGAGGGGGAUAACAGUUGGAAACGACUGCUAAUACCGCAUACGCCCUACGGGGGAAAGCAGGGGACCUGCGGGCCUUGCGCGAUUGGAUAUGCCCAGGUGGGAUUAGCUAGUUGGUGAGGUAAUGGCUCACCAAAGCGACGAUCCCUAGCUGGUCUGAGAGGAUGAUCAGCCACACUGGAACUGAGACACGGUCCAGACUCCUACGGGAGGCAGCAGUGGGGAAUAUUGCACAAUGGGGGAAACCCUGAUGCAGCCAUGCCGCGUGUGUGAAGAAGGCCUUCGGGUUGUAAAGCACUUUCAGCGAGGAGGAAAGGUUGAUGCCUAAUACGUAUCAACUGUGACGUUACUCGCAGAAGAAGCACCGGCUAACUCCGUGCCAGCCGCCGCCGUAAGAC
rnacentral:rRNA from 1 species